rnacentral:lncRNA from 1 species
AGAUGGGGACAGCAGACCAGGAAGGCAGCAGCCCUGACCACCAGGAGCUAGCUAUCACAGACACUGGCAGCUGGCUCAGCCCUGCAGGAGACGACAGUAAUGGCUGGUGUCUCCCCUGCUGUCUUUGGAAUCCCAGAUGUCACCUUGGAAAGGAACACGGUGGCAGUCCAUGAAGUCCAAGAAAAUAUCACAUCAGGGGACAGUUUAACAGUGGCCUCCAGCAACACUGACUUUGCCUUCAGCCUCUACAGGAAGCUGGUUUUGAAGAAUCCAGAUGAAAAUGUUGUCUUCUCCCCAUUCAGCAUCUCAGCGGCCUUGGCCCUGCUGUCCCUGGGAGCAAAGGGCAACACCCUGAAGGAAAUCCUAGAAGGUCUCAAGUUCAACCUCACAGGGGCCCCUGAACCAGACAUCCACCAGGGCUUUAGGUACUUGCUAGACCUUCUCAGUCAGCCAGGGGACCAGGUACAGAUCAGCACAGGCAGUGCCCUGUUUAUUGAAAAGCACCUGCAGAUCCUGGCAGAGUUCAAGGAGAAGGCAAGGGCUCUGUACCAGGCUGAGGCCUUCACAGCAGAUUUCCUGCAGCCUCGCCAGGCCACAAAGCUCAUCAAUGACUAUGUGAGCAAUCAGACCCAGGGGAAGAUCAAGGAACUCAUCUCAGACCUGGAUAAGAGCACGUUGAUGGUGCUGGUGAAUUAUAUCUACUUUAAAGGCAAAUGGAAGAUGCCCUUUGACCCCCAUGACACAUUUAAUUCUGUGUUCUACUUGGAUGAGAAGAGGUCUGUGAUUGUGUCCAUGAUGAAAAUUGAGGAAUUGACCACACCCUACUUCCGGGAUGAUGAGCUGUCCUGCACUGUGGUGGAGCUGAAGUACACAGGAAAUGCCAGUGCCAUGUUCAUCCUCCCUGACCAGGGCAGGAUGCAGCAGGUCGAAGCCAGCUUACAACCAGAGACCCUGAGGAAGUGGAAGAACUCUCUGAAGCCCAGGAGGAUAGAUGAACUCCACCUGCCCAAGUUCUCCAUCUCCACGGACAACAGCCUGGAGCACAUCCUUCCUGAGCUGGGCAUCAGGGAAGUCUUCUCCAUGCAGGCUGAUCUGUCUGCAAUCACAGGAACCAAGGACCUGAGAGUCUCUCAGGUGGUCCACAAGGCUGUGCUGGAUGUGGCUGAGACAGGCACAGAAGCAGCUGCUGCCACAGGAGUCAAAUUAAUUCUAUUAUGUAGAAAAAUCUAUUCUAUGACAAUAUAUUUCAACAGGCCAUUCCUGAUGAUUAUCUCUGACACAAAAGCUCACAUUGCCCUCUUUAUGGCCAAAGUUACAAAUCCCAAGUGAGACCAGAACUUCUCAAAUGGGGAAAGGGCCCCUUCUCAAAAGCUGAGAAUUGAGCCUGUAUGUCUGUCUGUCUGCACAUUUUGGCCAACUUCCAUGCUCUGCUUGGCUGAGGCAUGCCUGACUAGACAGUGACACUGACUAACUCUGUGACUCCCUCAUGCAGAGAAACAAGCCUAUGGCUGGUCAGUGUCAGACUCUCUGUCAUCUUGGCAGCCCUAGCUCAGGAUCCUGACCUGAAAUUUGCGUUAUUCCCUAUCCCUGCUCUCUCCCCUGUAUCUGCCUCAACUCAAAAGCAUGGGCCCAGCAGUGAGGCUCUCUCCUAACUUAGGCUCUGCUUAUGUCUGCUGUCAGCUUUUCAGUCAUGAUGGGACUUUGAAAGUUUAAAGCCAACUCAUAAGGUCUAAGACGGGAACCUGCUGCCCUGGGUCUAUCUGCAGCAUCUGAAACACUUGACGCCCAGUUCUGCCUUAGUCUUGCCUUCCUCUGGGCAGAGCUAUCCACAGCCCCUGCAGAAUCUCUUGGUCCUGCCCACCUCUGGCACAGGUGGAGCACUCACCCCUACAAAUGCAUGGGGCCUGUGGGUCAGAGCAGCUCCCCCUAGCACUCCUACUCAGAACAGAGAAGUAGCCUAACCAUAAGUUUUUAAUUGACCAACCUCAUAGGACAGGUGGACACCUCCCCCUUCAUCACCCAAAUUGAAAGGGCAGGAGGUAAGGAUCAAUAAACAUAUAACUGCAUUGAAA